UGGUUGGACGAGGUAAUAGCUGUCUUUAUUUAAUAUAUAUUAGAAUUUAACUUUUAAGUUAAAAGGCUUAAAUUUAAUUGAUAGACGAGAAGACCCUAUAGAUCUUUAUUUAUAAAGUUAUGAGUUGGAUUUGGAUUAAUUUAAAGCUUGUAACUUUAUGAAUUUUAUUGGGGUAAUAUAAAGAUUAAAAAAAUUCUUUGAAUAGAUUGAACAAUGAUUAUUGACAAAUUGAUCCAUUAGUAUUGAUUAGAAGAUUAAGUUAC
rnacentral:rRNA from 1 species